rnacentral:rRNA from 1 species
AUUGAACGCUGGCGGCAUGCCUAACACAUGCAAGUCGAACGGUAACGGACCGCUGGGAUUCCUUCGGGAUGACCUUGGUGCCGACGAGUGGCGGACGGGUGAGUAACACUUGGGAAUCUGCCCAGUAGUGGGGGACAACAUUCGGAAACGGAUGCUAAUACCGCAUACGCCCUAUGGGGGAAAGUGGGGGAUCUUCGGACCUCACGCUAUUGGAUGAGCCCAAGUCGGAUUAGCUUGUUGGUGGGGUAAUGGCUCACCAAGGCGACGAUCCGUAGCUGGUCUGAGAGGAUGAUCAGCCACACUGGGACUGAGACACGGCCCAGACUCCUACGGGAGGCAGCAGUGGGGAAUAUUGGACAAUGGGCGCAAGCCUGAUCCAGCAACGCCGCGUGGAGGAAGAAGGCCUUCGGGUCGUAAACUCCUGUCAGUUGGGACGAAAAGCCAUCGGUGAAUACCCGGUGGUUAUGACGGUACCAGCAGAGGAAGCCCCGGCUAACUCCGUG